CCUACGUGAGGAUGCAGUGAGGAAUAUUGGUCAAUGGACGAGAGUCGGAACCAGCCAAGUAGCGUGAAGGAUGACUGCCCUAUGGGUUGUAAACUUCUUUUAUAUGGGAAUAAAAUGUUCCACGUGUGGGAUUUUGUAUGUACCAUAUGAAUAAGGAUCGGCUAACUCGGGGCCAGCAGCCGUGGUAAUACGGAGGAUCCGAGCGUUAUCCGGGUUGAUUGGGGUUAAAGGGAGCGUAGGUGGAUUGUUAAGUCAGUUGGGAAAGUUUGCGGCUCAACCGUAAAAUUGCAGUUGAAACUGGCAGUCUUGAGUACAGUAGAGGUGGGCGGAAUUCGUGGUGUAGCGGUGAAAUGCUUAGAUAUCACGAAGAACUCCGAUUGCGAAGGCAGCUCACUGGACUGCAACUGACACUGAGGCUCGAAAGUGUGGGUAUCAAACAGGAUUAGAUACCCUAGUAGUC
rnacentral:rRNA from 1 species